rnacentral:lncRNA from 1 species
GGCUGCGCACGCGCCGGGGUGAUGGUCCCUGGGUCGCCGCGCUCGCUCGGCGGCAGAGAGGGAUCCUCGCCCGGCCCAGCUCUGACCGCGAGCUCUGAGGUGGCUGAGACGCUGCCCCUGCCUGUCUGCACCGACUGGAGAGACCGAGGCCCAUCAGCGUUCUGAGCCUGCCCCACCAGGAUUUCUCCUGUAUCAGCUCUUUCUGACUCACCCACUGGGUUCUGUUCCAAGAAGAUGAUUUCCCUACAUCUGGGUUCUGCUUUUUAGCCAUGCCUGUAAUUUCUGUUCUCAGUUCCAUGCUCAGAGAGACCACAGUGUUCUGCUUGGACUCCAGAACUCUGCCGUGGUCAGUUGGAAAACUUUCCUGGGGCAGAGAUUUGGGCAAUCACGAGGCUCAUUUGACAAAUACUAUAAACAAAUACACGAAUGUACUUGGGGAUGUCAACAUCCCAAUCUCAGGGAUUGUUGGAACUACUAGAUGGGAAAUCAGCAAAGAUAUAGAAGAUCUGACCACCACCACUGAACAAGAUGUAAUUAACAUUUAUAGAACCUCUACUCAACAACAGGCACUCGGAUCCACGCUUCCCUGAGGACCUCAUCCCUGACCCCAUGGGCUCAGAACCUAACACGUUGCCAAGCUGGUCCCGGCUCCAACAGCGUUUCAAGCAGCACGUUUUGUGUCCGGGUGUGUGUGCAUUUCCUGGGGCUGCCGUGGCAGAGCACCACAGACAGGGGGGCUCAGAACAACGGAAAUUCAUCAUCUCACAGCUCUGGAGGGUAGAAGUUCCAAAUCAAGGUGCUGGCAGGCCCAGGCUCCUUCUGCAACUUGUAGGGGAAGGGUCCUUCCUUUCUCCUGCUGGCUUCGCUGGUUUGCUGGCACGUUUUGGUGUUCCUUGACUUCUGGCCCAUCGCUCCAGUCUUCCAUGUUCACAUGGCCCCUUUCCUCUGCGUUUGUCUUUAUGUCCAAAUUUCCCCUUUUCAUAAGGACACCAGUCAUAUUGAAUUAGGGCCCACCCUAAUGACCUAUUUUAACUUGAUUUCAUCUUCAAAGAUCCUAUUUCCAAAUAACGUCACAUUUUGAGGUGACUAGGAGUUAGGAGUUCAACGUAUCAUUAUUAGGGGACGCAAUUCAAUCCAUCACAGCGUGUUAAGUCACAGCUUUCAGUUAUACGUUCUUGCUUCCUGCACUUAGGGAACUGGGAGUGCUCCAUGGUGCUGCCUUCUUCAAGCUCACCUCCAUCUUUGGGCAACCGUUUGCUCAGGUGCGGCUGGGAAAGGCUGUCCAGGCCCCUGCUACUGUCAUUUCAAGAGCCUUAGAUCCCAGAAGUCAGUGCGGGCAGGGGCUCCUCCAUGUGAAUAAUGCAUCUGACAGCUCACCAAGGAUAGAGACAACCCAGAAGCCCUCUGGGUUCAUCUUACUAGUUGUCCUUACUUUCCCUUCACUCUAAGGGCUUUCUAUUUUUAUCCUGUUGUGCUCUGUUUGUUCUUGCAAUCCUCCUCAACUCUGUUUGGGAAGAAAUAAAGUAUAAAAA